rnacentral:tRNA from 1 species
GCCUGGCUGGCUUAUCAGUAGAGCAUGUGACUCUUGAUCUCAGGGUUGUGGGUUUGAGCCCCAUGGUUAAGUG